UACGUGCCGUGUUCGUCUCGCUCGUUCCGAUGAAAACCUUCGUUCCGGGAAUUAUACGCGUGUCUUCUGAAACGCGUUUGGAAAAUACCAUCAACGCGUUUCGCUAUUUGGAUCAGGUUGCAGUAACGAAACGACGAGCGUAACAGCCGAGAAUUUGCGCAAAAAUGCUGCGAGUUACGUAGCGAAGCAACGAACUAGCCAUCGGGCAGGGACGAAAAAUGCGUUGAAAAUUCGGGUCGAGGGAACAGGAAAUAAAGAAGGGACCGAACGAAGGGAGAGAAGAGCCGAAAGGCUCGGUACGGUUUGUCCUUGAAUAUUUUACAAUCUCUCUCAGGAGGGAAAGCGCAUUCCCACGGCGAGCCAAGGGCCUUGGUUACAGUAUUGCGUCGCUUGCUUUUUCACUUAAACGAGCUCCCGCCGCGCGAUCCCAGCUAUGGAGCUGCAGCUGAUUAGAUUAGAUAGCGUGGCUUUUCGUCCGAUAACCAGAUGUUAACUUAUCUU
rnacentral:misc_RNA from 1 species